rnacentral:rRNA from 1 species
AGAUUGAACGCUGGCGGCAUGCCUUACACAUGCAAGUCGAACGGCAGCACGGGAGCAAUCCUGGUGGCGAGUGGCGAACGGGUGAGUAAUACAUCGGAACGUGCCCAGUUGUGGGGGAUAGCCCGGCGAAAGCCGGAUUAAUACCGCAUACGACCUACGGGUGAAAGCGGGGGAUCGCAAGACCUCGCGCUAUUGGAGCGGCCGAUGUCGGAUUAGCUUGUUGGUAGGGUAAAAGCCUACCAAGGCUACGAUCCGUAGCUGGUCUGAGAGGACGACCAGCCACACUGGGACUGAGACACGGCCCAGACUCCUACGGGAGGCAGCAGUGGGGAAUUUGGACAAUGGGCGCAAGCCUGAUCCAGCCAUGCCGCGUGCGGGAAGAAGGCCUUGGGUUGUAAACCGCUUUGUCAGGAAGAACGGUUGAGCUAAUACUUGAGUCUAAUGACGUACCUAGAAGAAGUAAGCACCGGCUAACUACGUGCCAGCAGCCGACGGUAAUCGUA